rnacentral:rRNA from 1 species
GACGAACGCUGGCGGCGUGCUUAACACAUGCAAGUCGAACGGGCUGCCUGGUUUUCGGAUCGGGUGGUGAGUGGCGAACGGGUGAGUAACACGUGAGUAACCUGCCCCUCUCUUUGGGAUAACGUCGGGAAAUCGGCGCUAAUACCGGGUAUUCUGGCUUCCUCGCAUGGGGUUGUUGGGAAAGGUUUUUUCUGGUGGGGGAUGGGCUCGCGGCCUAUCAGCUUGUUGGUGGGGUGAUGGCCUACCAAGGCGGUGACGGGUAGCCGGCCUGAGAGGGUGUCCGGCCACACUGGGACUGAGACACGGCCCAGACUCCUACGGGAGGCAGCAGUGGGGAAUAUUGCACAAUGGGCGGAAGCCUGAUGCAGCGACGCCGCGUGGGGGAUGACGGCCUUCGGGUUGUAAACCUCUUUCAGUGCAGAACAAGGCUCUUUGUGGGUUGAGGGUAUGCGCAGAAGAAGCGCCGGCUAAAUACGUG